GGUGGUGCAAUGGGUCAGAUCAUCUGGCUGUUAACCAAAAGGUUGGUGGUUCGAGCCCACCCAGGAACCA